AGCCCUCACCGCGAGCAGUGUGUCAUGGCUGCCUCAGACAGGCCCUCGGCUGGCCGGUUCUGCCAUGCACCUCUGGCGCACACACCCCUUCACACUCCUCUCCAAGCCCCCAAGACUGCUCUCUUCUAAGAACUCCAGGAGCUAAAAGCUUAUUGAGAAAAAAAGAAAAAGAAAAAAAGAAGAAGAAGAAAAAGCCGAACUGUAACUUACCAACCAACCCAAGCCAAAUAACACUUUGGAAAGCAAUGUGGUUACAAAAGCAAUAAAUGAAUGGCUUAGCCCUUCUUGUGUCUUAGAAAUUGGACCCACCGUUGCCAAGAAGGAGUAAAGAAAUGAGUCUGUAUUUCAUUUAACUGCACUG
rnacentral:lncRNA from 1 species